rnacentral:misc_RNA from 1 species
GAGAUACAAUGAGGCUCACGGCAAUUAUCCCACAAGAGAACCCCAAUGGCCAACCGUAAACUCCAAGUGUCCCUCACGGCAAUAACAAGUUACCUCAAGUAUUCAAACCGUAACAACAAAUAGCAAGCACUAACUUCACGGCAACCACAAGCUCACGGCAACUUGUAAUAACUCACACCACCAAGAGGUUCACACGGCCACACUAAUCUCACAACAAGGA